UCCAUUCCAUUCCAUUCCAUUCUUGUGUGUGGAUAUCCAAUGGCUCCAGCACUAUCUGUUGAAAAGCCUAUCCUUUCUCCAUCAAAUUAUUUUUGCAACUCCAUCAAAAAUCAAUUGGCCAUACUUGUGAAACUACCUGCGAGUCCACUAUUCUGUUCUGGUGACCUAUAUGUCUAUCCCUCUGCCAGUACCACAGUACCGAUUAUUGUAACCACAUAGCAGCUGGGUGUGGGGCCUUUCUCCUGCUGAUGGACAGAGAAGGUCUUGACUUUCUACUAAGCCUCUUGGGACACCACCUUUGAAAGAAGAAGGAACCUUGUUAUAUGUCUUCCAACGCCUUUCCUGCUUGCAAUGAGGAGGAACCUUUGCCUGGGACAGCUCCAGUCCUGCAGCAGGCACUUCCCACUUUCUGUCUGGAUGACUUCUGCUCCUUCUCAGGAAACGUGGUUCUAACUCCAGACUACUGGUCUACCUCCUGUGCUUCCCUAGACCCCAAAAAGUUUCUUCGUCCAGGUGUUGCCCAGCACCUGUGUGCAGGUUCCCAGGAUUCUCCACGCACCUGAAUAGAAGGUAGGGCCGAGACAAGAAAGGGAGGGACUCCGUCAACACCACUGCAAUAUUUGUGCAAUAAGGAUCUUGUUCCUCAAAAAACCUCUGUCUAGGGAAGGCACCCUCUGUCACUAAAUUUCCCCCUCUCUGUGCUCGUUUGAUUGACUGUCCUCCUGUGAGGCUGGAAGCUCCAGAAGAUACAGUCCCUGAGUUUGGUUGCUGUAUCCUCAGCAUCUCACACAGUUGCCUGACUCAUUAAUUUCACACCUACAAAAUAUUUGACAAACAAUAA